CUUAGAGGUUAAGCCCGAUGAACCUGAAUAUCCAUUAUGGAAAAUUCAUCACUAAAAUUUUUAAUAUAAUCACUAUAUUAUAAUGAUAGUGUGCAUUUUUUCCAUAUAAGGACAUUGUAAUCUAUUAAUAUGUAAAUUAAUAUUUAUCAAAAGAUCAUUAACAUUAGUUUAUUCAAAUUAAUUAACUUUUUAAGUUUUUUAACAUAGAAUAAUUGUUGAUGAUUUGAUAAAGUAUUGAUAGAUUUAAAUUAUUAGUGCUAAAAUUCUUUGAAUUUUAUAUAUAAAUGGAUUUUAUUUAUUUAUAUAUAUGCACUUAUAUGAUUA
rnacentral:rRNA from 1 species